rnacentral:rRNA from 1 species
CCUACGGGAGACAGUAGUGAGGAAUAUUGGUCAAUGGGCGCGAGCCUGAACCAGCCAAGUAGCGUGAAGGAUGACUGCCCUACGGGCUGUAAACUUCUUUUAUAAAGGACUAAAAUGAGGAACGUGUGCCUUUUUGUAUGUACUUUAUGAAUAAGGAUCGGCUAACUACGUGCCAGCGGCCGCGGUAAUACGGAGGAUCCGAGCGUUAUCCGGAUUUAAUGGGUUUAAAGGGAGCGUAGAUGGGUUGUUAAGUCAGUUGUGAAAGUUUGCGGCUCAACCGUAAAAUUGCAAUUGAUACUGGCAGUCUGGAGUACAGUUGAGGUAGGCGGAAUUCGUGGUGUAGCGGUGAAAUGCUUAGAUAUCACGAAGAACUCCGAUUGCGAAGGCAGCUUACUAAACUGCCACUGACAUUGAUGCUCGAAAGUGUGGGUAUCAAACAGGAUUAGAUACCCCUGUAGUC